CACAUACGAAGCAACCCAUCCUUCUUUCUCACAAAUAAUACGGGGGCACCCCAUGGCGAAUUACUUGGUCUUAUGAACCCCUUUUCUAGCAAGUCCUCUAAUUGUUCUUUCAAUUCUGCCGGGGCCAUCCGAUAUGAAGGAAUAGAGAUAGGUUGGGUAUCGAGGAGGAGAUUGAUACCAAAAUCAAUUUCCCUUUCGGGAGGGAUACCGGGAAGGUCAUCGGGGAACUCAUUGACUAUGGGAACCAACUCAAGAGGGGGACUUUUGGAGUCGACAUCCCUAACCCUCACAAUGUGGUAAAUACAACCCUUAGAAAUCAAUUUUUGGGCCUUAAGAUAAGAAAUAAACUUAUCCUUCACCACCGAAUCAUGACCCUCCCAUUCAAUAACGGACUCAUUUGGAAAUUGAAACUUGACUCAAUGAGUUCUGCAAUCUAUGGAAGCAUAAGAUGCAUGUAAUCAAUCCAUCCCAAGAAUGGCAUCGAAAUCUACCAUGUCAAGCUCAAUGAGAUCACAAGGAAUAACUUUAUGCAAGAUAGACACGGGACAACCCCUAUAGACCUUUCUAGCAAUAAACGAUUCACCCACGGGGGUAGACACCAAAUAAGGCUCUAAUAACAUUUCGGGUGACACAUCAAACCUAUUUGCUAAGAAUGGGGUAACAAAUGACAAGUUCGCACCGGGAUCCAACAAUGCAUAUACAUCAACUCUAACUGACGUGGAUCUGUUAGAGUUUAUUCAACAGUUGAUUUGCAGGUACAAAUUACUCAUGUUUAUAGAAGCUCGAUUUGUCGGGCGUAGAAAUGCUUAUCCUAGGCUGAAGUUUCAAUUUUAGGCAAGUGGUAUAAACAAAUACAAUAGUCAAGAGUGGAAGAAAAGAAGAAACUAUACCAAAAGGGACAUAUCUUAUGCUAACAAGUAACAUACAUCAGCUACAUCUUCUGUCAAGGAAGUGCACAAUGCAAUUAUUUGAACUUGAUAUUUGCAAAAACGUGGAAAAUAUACCGGAUUCAAUUGGUCGAUUCGAAUUGGAAUUGUCAAGUCAUCCAUAACUAUUUAGUCAAAACAAGAAUUCAUUUUGGUCGAACCGCCUAGGUUCGAAAGGACCAGGCGGCGAUGAAGUAUGAGUCUAAAACACUAUAUGCGGCAUCUGAUGGUCAGAUGCCGUAGGUUGGUAUAUCUUUGAAAGCUCAGACGGAGAGAAUAAACGGACUCCUCGAGGGCAAGGAGCGUCCGGAGUCUCUUAAGAAAGGACAAAGACUAAUUAAUAUCAUGUUUACACCGAUCGGGGUCCAUCUCAUCUGAAAACUUUUCCUCUUCCAUUAGCAUAGCUAAAUUUGAGUGAAAAUAGUCGUCACAGUCUGAGUUCCUGCUUUCAACGAGACUUUCUUAGCUUGUCAAACUUUCUUUCCUUCACCAGGAAAGUUAUCCGGUCUCUAUAAAACAGAAUGAAAAGCCCGGGUGGAAGCACAAACAAAAGGAGAGAGAAAAAGUGGUGUCGAACAAUGGUGCUUGCGUUGCGGGAGAUGCCCGUCCGCAGGGUCCGGCCUGCUUCCCGCCCAAAAGAAUUCCAAUAUGCUAGUUUCAACAACUCUCAUUCGUACACAUUUUCUCAACCAAAGAUCCUACUCCUCUUAGAAAGGCGAAUGAAUCAUUUUUCCUAUUUUUCAUUUUGUUUUAAGGCCCCAUCGACGAAAGAACAAAUCGGAGAAUGCCCAUGAAUAGGGUCUUAUUACAGAAUCCGCAGUUUGGCUAGGCAAAGAUUUGCCUCCGUGGAAAGGAUGAUUCAUUCGGAUCGACAUGAGAGUCCAACUACAUUGCCAUUUUUGAAUACAUUUGACUUGGUGCUCACUUGUAGGAAGAUUCCCCAGGCUCCGUUUAGAAAAAACCCAAUUGGAUUGGUAAGAUAUCUAUGAUUGCUAUUCAUAUUUUUUCUUUGUAAAGAGAUCCUAAUUGUCAAGCAAAGUUACAUUCAGAUCUGGAGGCAUACCUAAUUAACGAGCUUUUUCAAACUCUUUCUGAAAAAGUCGGUCCUGGGAGAGUUGCUUCUUUCUUUUUUCCCGAUUUUGUCUCAUUAGGAUCAAUUGCAUUAAGUACAAAUUUUACAAAUUUCAUUCUUUUUUCUGAAUUCGUGCGAACAUACUAACUCUUUGACGGAGCUCAAAUGGUCUCCGCCGCUGCAGGUCCUUUAUUUAGGAAUGCUAAAUUCUUCACGACUAAUGAUAUUAAUGUUAUAUACAAUAGUAUUGUCUUUCAUUUAUCAAUCUCUCAAUAAAAUGUAACAUCUACAUAUUUCAAUCUGUUGGAUAUAAAUGAAAAAGAACGUUGAAAGGCACAAAAUUGGUGCAUGUAGUGUA